UUGCUUUUCAAUUGUGUUGUGAGAAUACAGCCAGAGAAGAGGUGUAAGUAUUUGAAAUACAAAUGACAAGGCACAGUAACAUAGUGUCAGUUCUGGGGUUGUAAGUAUCAGUAAGUACUGGAAACUAAGCUAGGGAAAUGGAAGAAACACCCAUCAUAUAUAGUGAACGCAGUAAUCACUUGUAAAUUGAAAAUUCAACUCUUAGCUAUCUACACGUUACUGCUGAGUAGUGAUGGGCCUGGGUCCCUACCAGACUCUCCUGUCCGGCUGUGCUCCUAGCUCCCUUCACACUAACUCAAGGCACUCGGGAAAACAAACGCCCUCAGCUUUGCCAACUCGGUGAGGGUCCCUCUGAACUUUCCGCUUCCCCCUUGUGGACAACCAGUCACCUAGAGUGUAGUGAUUCGGGCUUGCUAUGGUGCCGUGUGUUCCUAAAACUCAUGAAACACUAACCCAGAGCAAGUUAAAAAUAGUUUAAAAAUGUAUGAAUUGAUCGUUGUACAACUGUAGAAAACAUCUUUAACUCACGACCUAACACAGAGUUUGCAAAGAAAAGCCCAUGAGCAGAGCAGGAAAAGCUUUACAUGAGUCUGCCUGAGCCCCAGAUCAGACCACCUUUCUGCCUGGAGAAGGACGCUGCCUGCACUGCCACGGCCCCAUCAAAGGCUAUUUCCACUGUGAGUUAACCCUGCAGCAGUGGCUGGGAACAGCAUGCUGUCUCCUCCCGUGCUCACCACAAGGUCCACGAAGCCUUUCUCAUUCCAGUCGCCUUCGUUUGUCUGUCAGCUGCACAGUGAUGGAAACAGACACUAUAACACACGCUAAGCUCCGGGCCCUGGCUGCCUCACUGCAUCGUGGUGCCGGGCGACCCACAUUGAAAGUGAGAGAGGAUUUGUCACAAAGCUGGUGGAGUGAUGAAGAUGAGCCACUUGCAGCGGACACACGAGGGACGCAGGCAUCUCCC